CGGGCAGUAGCUCAGUGGUAGAGCCCUCACUUCGCAUGGGAGAAGACCUCCGUUCGAUUCGAGGCUGCUUCC
rnacentral:tRNA from 1 species